rnacentral:misc_RNA from 1 species
AAUUUCUUCUCUAAAUUAGAAAGGGAUUCAAUUUCGUUUCUAAUCUGUUUCUAAAUUGAAGAGAUUCAAAAUUAUGAAGGGAAAUAACUCUUUAAAAAAAAAAUUGAAAUGGACUUCUCAAUCCAUUUCCAAAAUUAGGAACAGAUUUUGAAUUCUAUUUCUAAAUUGUGGACCUUAAAAUUAAUGACAGGAAUUAUUGGACAUUUUUUAAAAUUUAGAAAUGGACAUAAAAAUUUCAAAUUUAUAAAUAGAUUUAAAAAUCCAUUUCUAAUUUUUGAAGGGAAAAUCCCGCCAUUUUUUCAAUUAGAAACGAAUUACACAAUCCGUUUCUAAAUCACUUAUAAAAAUCCCUCCCUCAUUAUCUCACUCCUUCUUUCAUUUUCUUUUCUCUCAUUUCACUCUUUCUUUCAUUCCCUUUCAUUUCUCUUUCUUUCAUUCCCUUUCAUUU